rnacentral:rRNA from 1 species
AUUGAACGCUGGCGGCAGGCCUAACACAUGCAAGUCGAGCGAGCGGCGGACGGGUGAGUAAUGUAUGGGGAUCUGCCUGAUGGCGGGGGAUAACUACUGGAAACGGUAGCUAAUACCGCAUACCAUCAGAUGAACCCAUAUGGGAUUAGCUAGUAGGUGGGGUAAUGGCUCACCUAGGCGACGAUCCCUAGCUGGUCUGAGAGGAUGACCAGCCACACUGGAACUGAGACACGGUCCAGACUCCUACGGGAGGCAGCAGUGGGGAAUAUUGCACAAUGGGCGCAAGCCUGAUGCAGCCAUGCCGCGUGUAUGAAGAAGGCCUUCGGGUUGUAAAGUACUUUCAGCGAGGAGGCGUUACUCGCAGAAGAAGCACCGGCUAACUCCGUGCCAGCAGCCGCGGUAAUAC